rnacentral:rRNA from 1 species
GAUGAACGCUGGCGGCGUGCUUAACACAUGCAAGUCGAACGAGAAAUGUAGACGGACACCUUCGGGCGGAAGCCUUCAUUUCGAGUGGCGGACGGGUGAGUAACGCGUGGGUAACCUGCCUCAUACAGGGGGAUAACAGUUGGAAACGACUGUUACUACCGCAUAAGACCACAGCAUCGCAUGAUGCGGGGGUAAAAACUCCGGUGGUAUGAGAUGGACCCGCGUUCGAUUAGCCAGUUGGCGGGGUAACGGCCCACCAAAGCGACGAUCGAUAGCCGAUCUGAGAGGAUGACCCGCCACAUUGGGACUGAGACACGGCCCAAACUCCUACGGGAGGCAGCAGUGGGGAAUAUUGCACAAUGGGGGAAACCCUGAUGCAGCGACGCCGCGUGAGUGAAGAAGUACUUCGGUAUGUAAAGCUCUAUCAGCAGGGAAGAAAAUGACGGUACCUGAGUAAGAAGCCCCGGCUAACUACGUG